rnacentral:misc_RNA from 1 species
GGAGUACUGGGUGCAAUGGAUGGCUAUUAUUCUCCAGAGUUUAGGGGAGAUUUUGGUGCUGGACUUUUGGAUCUCCAUGCUAUGGAUGAUACCGAGCUUUUGUCUGAGCACGUUAUCUCAGAACCAUUCGAGCCGUCACCAUUCAUUCCUAGUGGUACUAGACCAUUUGAGGAUGAAUUUAAUAUAGCCAGCAGCAGGCAGCAAAGAAGCCAAGCUGAUGAAGAUGCUGUGGCCAUGUUACCCGUGACUGAAAAAGAGAAUGUUGCCAGAGAAAAUAACGUGGCUAAAAUCAAAG